CCUACGGGAGGCAGCAGUGAGGAAUAUUGCUCAAUGGGAGAGAUCCUGAACCAGCCAUGCCGCGUGAAUGAAGACGGCCCUAUGGGUUGUAAACCCCUUUUGUCGGAGAACAAAACCCGGGACGUGUCCCGGACUGCGUGUAUCCGAACAAAAAGCAUCGGCCAACUCCGCUCCGGCAGCCGCGGUAAUACGGGGGAUGCGAGCGUUAUCGGGAUUUAUUGGGGUGAAAGGGUGCGAAGGCGGUGCGUUAAGUCAACGGUAAAAUUGCGGGGCUCAACCCCGACGAGCCGUUGAAACUGGCAGACUUGAGUUGGCGAGAGGUACGGAGAAUGCGCGGUGUAGCGGUGAAAUGCAUAGAUAUCGCGCAGAACUCCGAUUGCGAAGGCAGCGUACCGGAGCCAGACUGACGCUGAGGCACGAAAGCGUGGGGAUCGAACAGGAUUAGAUACCCCUGUAGUC
rnacentral:rRNA from 1 species